CGUAGUUUUUACAUUAAUUAGUUAUUAUGUAGUUGUAGUAAAGGAAGAAAUCAAUACAUUAAUAUAGUUAUGUAAAUAUGAUUGUUUAUUCUAAUACCACUUGGCAAUAAGGUCAAUGGAAAAUUGACGUUACAAAGUAAAUAGCUAAAUGAUAUGAAUAAAAUCGGUCACACUAAAACGUCAUAAGUGACAAUGAUAUUGUUAAUUGGUCUCUGUGUGGAGUAGGUUAUGUUGUGUUGCCAACCUGUCAAACGUCACAAGUGACAAUGACAUUGUUAAUUACAUCAUAUAACAUUUAAUUUUUAAAAUCCUUACAUAUUCACGCCUAAACUGUAGAGCUUAAUGACCUUGCUUCUUUACAACUGAUAGAUGGCAGUCCCUAUUAUCAAUAUGUUCAAACAGCUAGCCAAAUGCAACACAAUUUAUUUAACCAAAACAUAAUCUAUUCAGUAGUCACCACCCCGGUAGCUACCACAGUCUCUGCCACUAAGGAUCCAGAGUCGAUCAGACUGAACUUUGAGAAAUGGAUUGGAAUUUUGGAAAUAAAGAGGAAAACUGAACAAGCGAAUACCUGGAAAAGCAACGUAGCCAUUCAAAGCAGGUGGCGAACUUUGAAUCAUUGUUGCAAAACAUAUUCCUAUUUGAGAAUUGUUGGCACCAUGAUUUGAGACUUCCAGCUUGGUUGCUGUCCAAGUAGAAACGCCCACAUCCUGUGAAUUUACUGCAAGUCCAUCUGAAAAUCAUACGUAUUAAGAGCCAAAACAACCAUUAAUGAUGCUUCCAGCCAUAUAAAUGGAAGGAAAUAGAUUAAUGUAUCAAGCGGGUGAAGAAAUAGUAAAACAUUCACCAUUAAAACAAAAACCUAAAACACAUCAACAAUCUUGUCAGCAACACUUCAACAAGAAUCCACACCCAAAUUCAGAGUAAAAUUAGCUUCCUGAAAGGUGAUCCUUUUAAUCCCAUCCCAAACAAGUGUUCCAUAACACCGUUAUGGAUGCGAGCAGCUGAACUACUCCAAACUGUUUUCCUUCUCCACUACCAUUUGAUAUAUUAUCCAGACUACUUUCAUUAUCGUAUAAAUAUAUACAUCUUCUUCCUAUGAGUUUCGUCCCUAAACUAGCAAUUUGUAUCUCGUGCAUAAGACUCGAGGGAAAAUGAUGUUUAGAACGUACCCCUUGUCGAGCUAACUGAUACAAAAACUUCUUCUACGAAGAACAUGUCGUGCCCCUUGUUCUCCACGAAUCUUUCUGUUGGACUGGAAGUUGUCCCAGGGGCUGGAAAGCUGAUUUCUUUCAAUUCAUCAAUGUUCCAGCGAUUGAAAUAAUUAUGCAGGGAAAUAAUCAAACAAUAAAGGUGCCCAUUGUCAAGACUAGUUAUGUCAGAUUUUUCAUCAAUAAAGCAUUGAACUUAGACCUAAAUAACUAUUAGCUUCAAUAACGUUCACAAACCAACAGCAUCACAUACAGACGGACCAUAAAAGUUCUCCACAUAGUUGAAAGAUUAUAGGGUACCUUUAUGCUGGCAAUGAAUUUGCUAUGGGGACUGACACUAUUGAAUUUGCUAUGCGGCUGAUCACCAUACAACGAAUAGAAGGAUUAGCUAACGAUUUACUUUGACUACAGCACCGGCCAGCACUUGCUGAUUCACAGUUGCAGUAUCAGUUUCAAUGUUCACAAAUUGCCAAUGAAUUCGGGUCCGUAAUUCUAUGGAAACUAAUGCCAUGUACAAAAAGAUAAUCAUACCUCACGGUUUCAUAACUAAAUCUCCUCUUGUGAAGAUUUCGAGAUCAUUGUUGUUUGUCUUGCAGGAUCCGAUCGCUGUGUUGGCGGCUGACAAGAUUCCCGAGUUUCUCACCCAAACUAGAGCGGAAAGCUACGGGUGCCGAUUUUCUUUUUCCCGUUAUUUUCUAAUAUAAAAAUAAAAUAAAAAUACAGUCAAAAUAUCGCAGAAAAGUCAAAAUAUCGGGUAAUUGUCGCGAAAUAUCAUCACACGAGACGUAUCGUCAAAUUCUCUUUCUCGGCAAUUUCUCGCGUUUCAAUUUGGUUUGAAAAUCCGAAACGUUUCGCGUUUCGACAUGCGUUUCGGCGUGUAUUUUGGUUUCCGAGGAUUUUCAGAUUAACCGAGUCGUCUGCGGCAGCGUUUCGAUUUCGUUUCCGAGAACCUGAAACGUUUCGGCGCAUAUCAAGGAGUUUCGGCUGUUAUAUCCAUUUUCUCCUUUUCUUGAUAUUUGUUUCUGCGAUUUCCAACUUCUUGUGGCUGCGCUGCUCCCAUGACUAUGUCCCAAUUUCGUAAGAUCCUCCACUUUUACUAUUGGCUUUUUGUUAUCUUUGUGAAUUGAUUUGUUCUCAUGUGUAUCUAUCAGUUUGGGGGACUGUUUGCCGACAUACUACUUCUGUUUUCGCUGAAUGAAAAAAUUGAUGGCCAGAGAAAGGAAAGAGAAUUCUGGAAUUGACAAACGAAUGAAGAAGAAUAGAAUAGGGAGAAGCUAAUGAGAUGGGGUGUGAAAGAGAGAACUAAUAGAACCAAGAUGGCUGACGAAGAGGAAAAUUGAUGGCAGGCAAGAGCAAUUGAAGGAUGAUGGCAAAGCAAAAUCUCAGAGAAGAGAGAAUUUUGGAAUUGAAGGAAGAGGAAGAAGCUAUGAGGCAGGGUGCGGAAGAGAAAAUAACUGAAGGUUUUAUAUUAGCGUUUUAUCAUCUUCUUUCUCUAUGAGUUCUUUCCUAAGUUCUACUUUCAUCAUCAUCAUAUAUAUAAAUAAAUAGAUAAGUCACUGAAUAAAUGAAUGACUUGGCUUAAAUCAAUGACUUGGCGAGAACAAUACAGUAGGUUAAGUCGUUUAUUUUUGAAAAGAGGUUAAGUCUUUCAGGCUUAAAAAUCAAUAAAAGUUUAGAAAAUUACUUUAUCAAGUCAAAAUAGCGGAAGACCAUAACUUCUAAAAGCCGGAGGUGCAACAGAGUCGUCAUCAAUGCGUAACAAUGGCAACCAUCGUCUACUCUAGUCUUCUGAGUUAUUCCAAAUGCGUUUGGGGUUUAGGAACAAAGAAGGAGAAGGUGGUAAAUGAUAAUGGAACAAAGAAGAAGAAGACAAAACAGAGCCGGACCCAAAACAAUGACAACAACAAGCGGAAGGCAAUGGAUCAAAUUCAUACCCUGAAUUCAUUCUCAAUCCUGUACUUAUAUGGUAGACAAAUGCUGGAUUUUGAGGAUAUGACUUCUCACUAUAGGUCUUUAAGGCAUAGGAAACUAAAGGAAACGUGAAUUUUGCCUUCUUUCCGUUUCAAUUAGGAUUGUCAUUGUAGUGCUCAUUUCUUGCUGCAUUUCCGUUCAUGGUACUACAUUUUCCUCAACCAAAAGGAGCAACUAAGUUUAUUAGAAGAAUUUGUUUUGGUUAACACCAAGUCACUGAUUAAAUCAAUGACUUGGCGAGAACAAUACAGUAGGUUAAGUCAUUUAUUCUUUUAUUUUUAUUUUUGAAAAGAGGUUAAGUCUUUCAGGCUUAAAAAUCAAUAAAAGUUUAGAAAAUUACUUUAUCAAGUCAAAAUAGCGGAAGACCAUACCUUCUAAAAGCCAUCAAAACCUCCUAGGCCAAUGAACUAGAAGACACUAAAUGUUGAAUAUGGCCUCCAAAACCUGCAGAUAAGAAACAACAUAUUCCCACACAUGGAUCAAAUUCAUACCCUGAAUUCAUCCUCAAUCCUGUACUUAUAUGGUAGACAAAUGCUGGUUUUUGAGGAUAUGACUUCUCACCAUAGGUCUUUAAGGCAUAGGAAAUUAAAGGAAACGUGAAUUUUGCCUUACACAACUAGUCUUCUUUCCGUUUCAAUUAGGAUUGUCAUUGUAGUGCUCAUUUCUUGCUGCAUUUCCGUUCACGGUACUACAUUUUCCUCAACCAAAAGGAGCAACUAAGUUUAUUAGAAGAAUUUGUUUUGGUUAACACAUAGUGGUUAGUUCAUGGUUUAUUUUGAUGUUCUUAUUAUAAUACUAUAUAUGUGACAUUUAGUCCACUUUAUGCAGUAUUAGUUACUAUUAAAAAGUCGCGUUACUUAGUUUAAUCAUGCUUUAAUGAUUCCCUACUUCAAUGUCAACUUUCAUACUUUGUUUGCAUACUUGAUGUUGCUCUUCCACUAGUCUUGAUAGUUUAGAUCAAUUCCUUGUUUCACCAUCUAGUUUGUUGCUUUGGGGAAAACCUUAAAUGGCAUAGCACUGCUUUUAAGAAGUAGUUAAGCUUCGUAAGUCGAUAUGUAGUGUUGUUAGACUAUGAUGAACGUAAUGAUCUAUUUGACCAUUUUAAUUGGCAAUUUGCAUUUUACAAAAGUUUCAUCUUACAGUGAUGUAGAAAUGUGCCUUCUAGUUAAUGAAAGCUUGUUAAAGUUCGUCUUUUUAUUUAUCAGUAAAAGAAAGAGUGCUGGUGAAGACUUGAAAGGGUUUUAGCAUUAUUAUGUGCUUCUGACAUCCAGUCAUAAUUUUCAGGAAUUGGUUGGUGCUCUCUUUAGUUUGUAUCGAUUCCAUUGAAGCCACACACAAUCAACACAAAAUAAGGGAAAGCAAGUGAAGCUAAAUACUCUCAACCCGUUCCAAGUGCCCUACACUUUCAUCUCUACUUAUUGCCUAUCUCUUUGAUAAUUACGUUAUGAUGCUGUUCUGACUAAUGAAACAAAAAGCCGAGUUGGGCAUUCGAUCUCAAGGCCACACUACCAUGUUAGGUGUGGUCUAAGGUCGUAUUCCCUUCGGUUUGAACAAUUACAACCAAUACAUAAAACAAGCAAAAAUUAAUGAGUGAAACACACAAUUUCAGUCUAAUUAUGUGAUACAGAACUUAAAUUGGUAAGCAUGCAUUUGAGAGAUGCAUAGAGUUUCAGAUUUGUACUCAAAUCAAAAUUUUUCCAAAACUGAACAAUCAAGCUAUUUCACAAUCUACACAUAAAAACUAUUUCACAAGCAAAAUACGAUAUAAGCAAAUCCCUCUAAGUUAUCGAUUAGGCAAUAAACGAACUCAGCAGACAGAUGAGAGAUGAAAAAAAAUUUCUGUCAUAAAUAACAAACUUGAUACCUCAAUCAAACCAAUAUGGAAACCAAACCAAUCAGGAAUUCUAACUUCCUCACCUAAAUCGUAUACUGAAUCAUCAAAUGUGUAGUGCUCCUCUCACUCUCGAAUUCAUGGUUGUGCUUGUUAGUUAUUCUCCUGUUUUGACUCCCUCAAAUACCAAUCCACCUUAGUAAGACAAUAGUUUCUAGAUGCAUAAGCUGAUUUACAUGCUAAGCAGGAGAUAUAUUUAUGCAAAAACUAAUGACAGUCCUAGUCUAGCACACAUGGAACAUGUCUUCCUGACAAAAACGAGUCCAAAUGUGGAAACCAUGAGCCAGUCAAACCGAAACCAAUCAGUCAGUCAUAUUUUAUCAGCCAAACGGUACAACAACCAAAUACAAUAACAAUCAGGAAUUCAAACUUUCCAAACCAAGCCGCAAGACAUUAAACCAAAACUGUUGCCAAAAAUAUCGAAGGGCCAAUGGAUCAGAGUAAACCUGGAGCUUAAUCACAACAUAAGUGGCAAUUGAGUUAUUCAUCUUAGAGCUUCCAAUCCUUCACUUCAAUAACAAUGUUUUGCAUGUCUUGGAUCUGGCUCACCAAUAGACAACCUGUAUAUGCAUAGAAACGGUGGCAUGUCGUGUAUUAGCUUCUCCUCACUAAAACUGUAGAUUAUCAAGUAGGGAUCAAACUUCAAAUACUUGUACAGCGGAUUCCAUGGCCAAGCUGAAUACUAAACGACUAGAGAAACAGAAUCAGGUGCAAUCAAAAUAGAUAAACCUUAAUAAAUUGGUUAAUGCAAUCAGGUUACUCGCGAUGUGGAGGUGGACGGGAGUCCAGCCUGCAGAAGAAGAAGAGACGAGAUCAGCGAGGCCUGCGAGGAAGGGAGGAGCUAUGGCGGCGGCAGAGGAGGGUAGGGUGGAGAUAAGGUGGAAGAGGAGAGAAGCGAUGGACGGGUCGGGGAAGAGGGAGAGAGCAUGGAGGAGAGGGGAGAGGAGGAAGUGAGGUGGAAAGUGAGCAGGAUUUCGAGGAAUCGGGGCUGCGACAGCGCCGCCGUGCGCUGAGUGAGGGUGUAGGAGACUUGGUGGUGGCUGAUGGUGGAGAAAUCCUACUGCUGCGAUGUUGAUGGAGGAAGAAGAGGGAGAGCGAAGCGAAUAGAGGAUGGGAGAUCUGGAACCGAACGGCGGAGACAAAAUUAAAUCAUUUCGUACUAAAUCUGUG
rnacentral:lncRNA from 1 species